UCUGCAUCUUACCUACAGGGGUCAGAGACACACCUGUUCACCUUCCACUGAAUCCACAUGAUCUCAGAGAGUCUUAGAUCACCUGGACAGGUAACCAAGGAGCUGGAAAACUGAGCAGGUGUCGCUACCCGAGCAGUGGUCGCUACCCGAGCAGUGGUCGCUACCCGAGCAGUGGUCGCUACCCGAGCAGGGGUCGCUACCCGAGCAGGUGUCGCUACCCGAGCAGGUGUCGCUACCCGAGCAGGUGUCGCUACCCGAGCAGUGGUCGCUACCCGAGCAGUGGUCGCUACCCGAGCAGUGGUCGCUACCCGAGCCGGUGUCGCUACCCGAGCAGGGGUCGCUACCCGAGCAGUGGUCGCUACCCGAGCAGGGGUCGCUACCCGAGCAGGGGUCGCUACCCGAGCAGGGGUCGCUACCCGAGCAGGUGUGGGUGAACUGGGAGUAGAAGUCCUGGUCGGAGGGCUCUGGAGGAGGAAGCUGCUGCUGGAGGCUCAGUGCUGCCAUCAGCUCCUGCAGGAAGACUCCGGUUCCGUAACUGUCCCUGCUGAGGCAGCAGACGAUGUGAUCAGCUGAU